UUUAUCAUUCUCUAGGAAAAAACUCAACACAGAAACUCAGAAAGAGAUCAUUUAUUCGUGAUUUGAUCGAGAGAGAGAGGGACUGAUUGAUUGAUUUGAUCGUGAUUUGAACGAGAAUAUUGAUGAUUAGAGACUCUUACUCAAGAAGUAAAUCAUUAAUCAUGAAUCUAAUCGAUUGUUUGGAAGUUAGUUUUUUUCCCCCAAAUCGAUUGUGUAUUUGCAUGUUCGAGUGUUUGAAUAUUUAUGUAUUUAACUGUUAGAAGCAAUCAUGUUCUUCUUUUAGCUUUUUCAUUACAACUCAAUUCAGAUAAAAUUAGGGUGUUUCGAUUUUGAUUUUGAUUAUUGGGUUUUCGAUUUGGAAUUGUUAGGGGGUUUAUAUGAAAUCUCAUGCUUUACCAAUUGGAGUGGUGGUGAGUGUUGGGUAGAUUUUAUCAUGUUUACGAUGUUCAACUACUGUGACUGUCACAGUAGUAAUUGGUUUGGGUGAAAACCUCAUUGUUAUGCAAUCUUUGAAUCCCUAAGUGGUGGAGGUGAAGCCUGUUAGUUGUUUCCCCAAAUAGAAGAAGAAGAAGAAGAAUUUUUUCCUUAGAUUCACUUUAGGGUGAUUUCCAAUCUGAUAAGCCCUCAAAAAACUUAAGAUUUUGGUUAUCUUUUAGAUGACUGAUUGUUGAAAACUAAUUAGGUUAGUCUGAUUAUUGAGAAUUGAUGUUGAAAACUAAUUAGGUAAGAAAAAGUAAUUUAUGCAAUUCAGUUUUGGAAAAUUUGUCAGGUAAGAAUAUACAGAUGCCAUCUGACAUGGGAUAUGAAGAAUUGAUGUUAAUAAAUCAUACAAAGCUCUAUCUUUUUGUCGUAUGGCUUCCAUCUGACAAUGUAGAAGAUAGUGGAAGGUGGACCUAUACUUUAAGGCCAUGCAUAGUAGUUUCAAACUUGACCAUUAUCCAUGUAUAGAUGUUAUAUUGUGUCAUUAACCUAAGCAAUAUAGACUAAUUGAUUUCCUGACUAAUUCUUUUUGGCGCACAAUUUUUGGUGUACUCCUCCAACACUAUAUUGACUUCCUCCUGUGAAGUCAUCUGUACAAUUCAACCUUAAAUGCAAGUUGCAGGUAUAAAAUAUGUAUUAUCUGCACUUAUUUUGUGGGUAACCCAUCAAAAUCUCACUGUAUUUCCAAUAAAAUAAUCUUCUAGAGUUUGUUAGCAGAUUAAUAAUGAAAUUCACCCCACAAUCAUCUUGAACAAUAUUAUCUUUAGUGGUUACUUGAUCUUAUGUGUAUUUGAAGUCACUGAAAUUCUCAUUCACUUCAGCAUUACCUUGUCUUUCUGCCAUUGAUAUAUCAAACCAUAUAAGGUAUUUAGUGUUUUGAUUAGUAAAUAAAACCACAUAAGUCCUAUUUGAAAUAUAACAGUAUUUCAAACUCAUCUUGUUGAACAAUAUUAGUAUCAGUUUUGUUGGAAAGGUGAUUUGUAACUGUACUUAUGUGAAGAACCGUGAAAUUUUGAUUAGAAUCAAUAGUUUUGUUUGAUCAAGUUGGGGUUCUUAUUUUUUGUUUGACCAAGUUAGAUUCAUACUGUGUUAGCUCCAUGCUUAGUUUAGUUGCUUCUUCUUUUUCUUUUCUUGUUCUGAUGCUGCCAUAUACUGUUGGUUAUAUGUGAAUGAAUCAAACAAGGAUGUUAUAGCGUCUUGUUUCCUUUGCUUUUCAUUAAGUCCAGAUUUAGUCCAAGCAUUGCCAUGCUUAAGUGAUUGGAUGCCAGACUUCUUUGAUGCAGAUAUGAAAGUCCUCGACUGAAGUUGAUGCAAUGAUGCAACGUGCAACCAGGCAGCCAAGGAAGAUCAUCACUAGCAGUCUAGCCUGUUGACAUUGUUGUUAAGUUCUGUGUCACAAGAAGAUGGUUUUUUGUUUUUUUGUUUUUUGUUGUUGUGUACUUUAGUUUGCAGACUAUUGGGUGUUUGUAGUUUGUUUUUUCAUGUAUGGUGUGACUGAGACACUGAAAGUGGUA